UACGUAGGGGGCGAGCGUUGUCCGGAAUCACUGGGCGUAAAGGGCGUGUAGGUGGUUAAAUAAGUCAGGUGUGAAAACUGUGGGCUCAACCCAGAGGCUGCAUCUGAAACUGAUAAACUUGAGGGUAGGAGAGGGAAGUGGAAUUCCUAGUGUAGCGGUGAAAUGCGUAGAUAUUAGGAGGAACACCAGUGGCGAAGGCGACUUUCUGGCCUAACCCUGACGCUGAGGCGCGAAAGCGUGGGGAG
rnacentral:rRNA from 1 species